UAGAGUUUGAUCCUGGCUCAGGACGAACGCUGGCGGCGUGCCUAAUACAUGCAAGUCGAGCGCGGAAAGCGAGCUGAUCCCUUCGGGGUGACGCUCGUGGAACGAGCGGCGGACGGGUGAGUAACACGUGGGCAACCUGCCUGUAAGAUCGGGAUAGCUCCGGGAAACCGGGGCUAAUACCGGGUAAUACUUUCUUUCGCAUGAAGGAAAGUUGAAAAAUGGCUUCUCGCUAUCACUUACAGAUGGGCCCGCGGCGCAUUAGCUAGUUGGUGAGGUAACGGCUCACCAAGGCGACGAUGCGUAGCCGACCUGAGAGGGUGAUCGGCCACACUGGGACUGAGACACGGCCCAGACUCCUACGGGAGGCAGCAGUAGGGAAUCUUCCGCAAUGGACGAAAGUCUGACGGAGCAACGCCGCGUGAACGAUGAAGGUCUUCGGAUCGUAAAGUUCUGUUGUUAGGGAAGAACAAGUACCGUGCGAAUAGAGCGGUACCUUGACGGUACCUAACGAGGAAGCCCCGGCUAACUACGUGCCAGCAGCCGCGGUAAUACGUAGGGGGCAAGCGUCGUCCGGAAUUAUUGGGCGUAAAGCGCGCGCAGGCGGUUCCUUAAGUCUGAUGUGAAAGCCCACGGCUCAACCGUGGAGGGUCAUUGGAAACUGGGGAACUUGAGGACAGAAGAGGAGAGUGAAAUUCCACGUGUAGCGG
rnacentral:rRNA from 2 species